CAGCCGCCGCGGUAAAACGGAGGGGGCUAGCGUUGUUCGGAAUUACUGGGCGUAAAGCGCACGUAGGCGGCUUGGUAAGUUAGAGGUGAAAGCCUGGAGCUCAACUCCAGAAUUGCCUUUAAGACUGCCGAGCUAGCAGGUGAGAGAGGUAAGUGGAAUUCCGAGUGUAGAGGUGAAAUGCGUAGAGAUCGGAAGGAACAUCUGUGGCGAAGGCGACUAUCUGGGCCAACACUGACACUGAGGCACGAAAGCGUGGGGAGCAAACAGGAUUAGAUACCCCUGUAGUCCCUGUCUCUUAUAC
rnacentral:rRNA from 1 species